UACGUAGGGACCAAGCGUUGUUCGGAUUUACUGGGCGUAAAGGGCGCGUAGGCGGUCUGCCAAGUCCGGGGUGAAAGCCCCCAGCUCAACUGGGGAAGUGCCUUGGAUACUGGUGGACUUGAGGGAGGCAGGGGUUGUGGGAACUUCCGGUGGAGCGGUGAAAUGCGUUGAUAUCGGAAGGAACGCCGGUGGCGAAAGCGCACAACUGGUCCUCUUCUGACGCUGAGGAGCGAAAGCGUGGGGAGCGAACAGG
rnacentral:rRNA from 1 species